rnacentral:rRNA from 1 species
CAUGCAAGUCGAGCGAUGAAGCACCUUCGGGUGUGAAUUAGCGGCGAACGGGUGAGGAACACGUGAGAAAUCUGCCUUCAACACUGGGAUAACUCCGGGAAACCGGGGCUAAUACCGGAUAUGAAACCUGCGGGCAUCCGCGGGUUUGGAAAGUUUUUCGGUUGAAGAUGAUCUCGCGGCCUAUCAGCUUGUUGGUGAGGUAAUGGCUCACCAAGGCGACGACGGGUAGCCGGCCUGAGAGGGCGACCGGCCACACUGGGACUGAGACACGGCCCAGACUCCUACGGGAGGCAGCAGUGGGGAAUAUUGGGCAAUGGAGGAAACUCUGACCCAGCGACGCCGCGUGCGGGAUGAAGGCCUUCGGGUUGUAAACCGCUUUCAGCAGGGAAGAAGCGAAAGUGACGGUACCUGCAGAAGAAGCACCGGCUAACUAUGUGCCAGCAGCCGCGGUAAUACAUAGGGUGCAAGCGUUGUCCGGAAUUAUUGGGCGUAAAGAGCUCGUAGGUGGUUCGUCACGUCGGAUGUGAAACUCUGGGGCUUAACCCCAGACCUGCAUUCGAUACGGGCGAGCUUGAGUAUGGUAGGGGAGUCUGGAAUUCCUGGUGUAGCGGUGGAAUGCGCAGAUAUCAGGAGGAACACCAAUGGCGAAGGCAGGACUCUGGGCCAUUACUGACACUGAGGAGCGAAAGCGUGGGGAGCGAACAGGAUUAGAUACCCUGGUAGUCCACGCCGUAAACGGUGGGCACUAGUUGUGGGGACCUUCCACGGUCUCUGCGACGCAGCUAACGCAUUAAGUGCCCCGCCUGGGGAGUACGAUCGCAAGAUUAAAACUCAAAGGAAUUGACGGGGCCCCGCACAAGCAGCGGAGCAUGCGGCUUAAUUCGACGCAACGCG